rnacentral:ncRNA from 1 species
CGCCCGGCCGGAUCCCGUGGGGGGAAUCCGCACCGGGACAUGGGAAGCUCCGAGGGCCAGAACACCGAC